rnacentral:rRNA from 1 species
GAUGAACGCUGGCGGCGUGCCUAAUACAUGCAAGUCGAGCGAACAGAUGAGGAGCUUGCUCCUCUGACGUUAGCGGCGGACGGGUGAGUAACACGUGGAUAACCUACCUAUAAGACUGGGAUAACUUCGGGAAACCGGAGCUAAUACCGGAUAAUAUAUUGAACCGCAUGGUUCAAUAGUGAAAGACGGUUUUGCUGUCACUUAUAGAUGGAUCCGCGCCGCAUUAGCUAGUUGGUAAGGUAACGGCUUACCAAGGCAACGAUGCGUAGCCGACCUGAGAGGGUGAUCGGCCACACUGGAACUGAGACACGGUCCAGACUCCUACGGGAGGCAGCAGUAGGGAAUCUUCCGCAAUGGGCGAAAGCCUGACGGAGCAACGCCGCGUGAGUGAUGAAGGUCUUCGGAUCGCAAAACUCUGUUAUUAGGGAAGAACAAAUGUGUAAGUAACUAUGCACGUCUUGACGGUACCUAAUCAGAAAGCCACGGCUAACUACGUG